rnacentral:rRNA from 1 species
GGAUUGAACGCUGGCGGCAUGCUUUACACAUGCAAGUCGAACGGCAGCACGGGGGCAACCCUGGUGGCGAGUGGCGAACGGGUGAGUAAUGCAUCGGAACGUAUCUUUAAGUGGGGGAUAACGCAUCGAAAGAUGCGCUAAUACCGCAUAAUCUCUGAGGAGAAAAGCAGGGGAUCGCAAGACCUUGCGCUUUUGGAGCGGCCGAUGUCUGAUUAGCUAGUUGGUGGGGUAAAGGCUUACCAAGGCUUCGAUCAGUAGCUGGUCUGAGAGGACGACAGCCACACUGGACUGAGACACGGCCCAGACUCCUACGGGAGGCAGCAGGUGGGAAUUUUGGACAAGUGGGGGAAACCUGGAUCCAGCCAUCGCCGCGUGAGUAGGAAGAAGGCCGUUACGGUAGUAAGCCUCUUUCGACGUACCGGAACGUAAACGGUUAACGGUUAACGUACCGUUAGACCUAACUGUAACCGGACGGUAAAGAGAACGCG